GGUUUAAGCCAUACCAUCUACAGAAUGCCCAAUCUCAUCUAAUCUCAGAAGCCAAGCAAGGUUGGGCCUGGUGAAUACUGGAUGGGAAACCAAUGGGAAUACCAGCUGCAGUAC
rnacentral:rRNA from 1 species